rnacentral:rRNA from 1 species
AUGAACGCUAGCGGCAGGCCUAACACAUGCAAGUCGAGGGGCAUCACGAGGUAGCAAUACUUUGGUGGCGACCGGCGCACGGGUGCGUAACGCGUAUGUAACCUACCUAUAACAGGGGCAUAACACUGAGAAAUUGGUACUAAUUCCCCAUAAUAUUCGGAGAGGCAUCUCUCCGGGUUGAAAACUCCGGUGGUUAUAGAUGGACAUGCGUUGUAUUAGCUAGUUGGUGAGGUAACGGCUCACCAAGGCAACGAUACAUAGGGGGACUGAGAGGUUAACCCCCCCACACUGGUACUGAGACACGGACCAGACUCCUACGGGAGGCAGCAGUGAGGAAUAUUGGUCAAUGGACGCAAGUCUGAACCAGCCAUGCCGCGUGCAGGAAGACGGCUCUAUGAGUUGUAAACUGCUUUUGUACGAGGGUAAACUCACCUACGUGUAGGUGACUGAAAGUAUCGUACGAAUAAGGAUCGGCUAACUCCGUGCCAGCAGCCGCGGUAAUACGGAGGAUUCAAGCGUUAUCCGGAUUUAUUGGGUUUAAAGGGUGCGUAGGCGGUUUGAUAAGUUAGAGGUGAAAUCCCGGGGCUUAACUCCGGAACUGCCUCUAAUACUGUUAGACUAGAGAGUAGUUGCGGUAGGCGGAAUGUAUGGUGUAGCGGUGAAAUGCUUAGAGAUCAUACAGAACACCGAUUGCGAAGGCAGCUUACCAAACUAUAUCUGACGUUGAGGCACGAAAGCGUGGGGAGCAAACAGGAUUAGAUACCCUGGUAGUCCACGCAGUAAACGAUGAUAACUCGUUGUCGGCGAUACACAGUCGGUGACUAAGCGAAAGCGAUAAGUUAUCCACCUGGGGAGUACGUUCGCAAGAAUGAAACUCAAAGGAAUUGACGGGGGCCCGCACAAGCAGUGGAGUAUGUGGUUUAAUUCGAAGCAACGCGAAGAACCUUACCAAGGCUUGACAUAUACGGGAAUAUAUAAGAGAUUAUAUAGCUCUUCGGAGUCUGUAUACAGGUGGUGCAUGGUUGUCGUCAGCUCGUGUCGUGAGAUGUUGGGUUAAGUCCCGCAACGAGCGCAACCCUUAUGGUCAGUUACUACGCAAGAGGACUCUGGCCAGACUGCCGUUGACAAAACGGAGGAAGGUGGGGAUGACGUCAAAUCAGCACGGCCCUUACGUCCGGGGCUACACACGUGUUACAAUGGGGGGUACAGAGGGCCGCUACCACGCGAGUGGAUGCCAAUCCCAAAAACCUCUCUCAGUUCGGACUGGAGUCUGCAACCCGACUCCACGAAGCUGGAUUCGCUAGUAAUCGCGCAUCAGCCACGGCGCGGUGAAUACGUUCCCGGGCCUUGUACACACCGCCCGUCACACCAUGAGAGCCGGGGGGACCCGAAGUCGGUAGUCUAACCGCAAGGAGGACGCCGCCGAAGGUAAAACUGGUGAUUGGGGUG